rnacentral:rRNA from 1 species
GACGAACGCUGGCGGCGUGCUUAACACAUGCAAGUCGAACGGAGAGGCCCUGCUUUUUUGGGUUGCUCUGGUGGCGAACGGGUGAGUAACACGUGAGUAACCUGCCCUUGACUUUGGGAUAACUUCAGGAAACUGGGGCUAAUACCGUAUAGGAUCUCCUGCUUCAUUGUGGGGGUUGGAAAGUGUCGGCGGUUGGGGCUGGACGCGCGGGUUAUGAGGUUGUUGGUGGGGUAGGUGCGUACCAAGGCUUUGACGGGUGGGCGGACUGAGAGGGUGACAGGCCCCAUUGGGACUGAGAUAGGGCCCAGACUCCUACGGGAGGGAGCAGUGGGGGAUAUUGGACAACGGGCGGGAGGCUGAGGGAACGAAGCCGCGUGGGGGAUGAAGGCCUUUCGGGUGUAAACCGCUUUUGCCUGGGACGAAGGGUGAGUGACGGUAACUGGUAAAGAAGCACCGGCUAACUACGUG